rnacentral:lncRNA from 1 species
UUUUCUAGUAGGAUUCCUAGGCAUGGGCAGGCUCCUAGCUAUAGCAGUGCUGUCUGAACAGUGGUUCAGAGGGUUGGCGACAAAUUUGAAACGUCUGGAAUCACUGGGGUUUGGAUACGCAGAGAACCAAGUUGGCACAAAUAGCAGAAAAAAAGCCAGAAAACAAAGAAGAUGUAUAGAAGAUAUACGGAAUUCCAGUGAAUUGUAUUUUGGUGUCAGAUUGGUGUAUGCUGUUGAAAGUAAGUGCAUAAAUCUAUUUUAAUUGCUUGCAUUAAAAAAUUAAGUUUAAAAUCAUAAAUACUAUAGGUUGCAAACAACAAAAGACAAAGCAAAUAGUACAGUAAUAGAUAUACGCCCACAUAUAUACUGUAAAUCAAAUAUAUGCUACUAGACAGUAGAAAUCCAUUAUUUUUUUGAAAGUUAGUAAGUUUUUCCAAAGAGAUGUUGCGUUGCUGAGGCUAUUCUAGGCUAAUAGGAAGAGUAUUUUAAUUGUUCAGCAAUAAUCUCUUCAGUACUUGUGUCAUGACAGCAGAUUUCUGAAAUGUUACUGAGCCAAAGUCACUCUUAAUUCCUUUGAUGAGUGAACCAGUGAGUGAGAGCAAUUAUCCCCAAAUUUAGCUGUUCUUUUAUUCUUAAACUGAUGUAUAGUUCCCCAAAAUAUUAACUGAAUAGCUUCUAAACACUUCAAACUUCAGCCUUGCGAAACUGCUUGCAUGCUAUUCCGUUCAGCUAUGUUGCUCAGCAUUUGUGGUGUGCGAAGAACUGCCUGUGCCUAUUGUUUUUGUUCCCAGAUUAAAUCUCUGAAGGCUUUGGCAGUUUCAAACUCUGUUGAAGUCACUGGGAUCUGAAGAUGCUCACAACUUUGUAACCCUUUUAACAAACAACACCAUAAUAAUAAUAAUAAUUUUCAAAGGACUACCCACCGAAUACUGUAAGUAACAGUAGCAAAACCUUUUCAUUUUGUACAAACACCAAUGCUUCUGGGACACCAUUCCAUUCUCCAAAUGUACAUAUGUUUGAGCAAAGGGUUCCCAGAAACAAGCAACAAGAAUAUUGAGACCAUUGCUCAAUAACCACGGUUUUUAUUUUGCAAUAGUUAUUGAGAUCUGCAGGGGUUUUCCUGGGUUCAAAACUUGGCUGUUUUUAGUAGCAAUAUUUUCAGUUGUGUCAUAUGAAUUGUUUCAUUUUGUUAGAGCUGAAUAUUGUUAUUUGCCAUUUUGGAAUUGCUAGCUAUGUAUCUUGGAGCAAUGUAGUUGUAUGCUGUACAAAUAGCAAAAACCUAUAGCAAAAUACUGUGUAAUUUGAAUGUUGGCUGUACUCUCUGUGAGUCUCUUGGGUUUGUAUCACUAUGCAGGGAAUGUAUCUGAGCACCUUUGUUAUUUAGCCUGGUUGAUUGAACAUUAUGCACCCAGAUGCACUACUUUCAAAACUUAUUCUUGAAUGUUCAGGUGGAAAUUCUCUCUCAAGAGAUAUUUAUUUUAUUUUUUUUCAUAUAGAUAAUUGCCACUUAAGCCAGUUCUGUGGAAAUGACACAUGGAGAUUUUAAGAUGACCUUCACAUGUUUUACCGAAACUUAGCCUACAUAGGGUUUUGAGACACGAGUACAAUCAGAUUCUUCUUCUUGUACAGCUAAAGUAUAUAUGCUUUUUUCCAACAGGUUUGCAUAGCCUUCCAGAAAGAACUACUCUUCUUAAGCAGCAGGUAAGGAAAAUAACUUGGGUAAAAGAUUUGGGGAGGAACAGGAAAGGACAUUUAAUAUAUUUAAUCUUAUUAUACAUUUUUCUACAUUAAAGUCAACAGGCUGCAAAUAUAUUCUGCUACAAAGCUUUUUGUAAGAAAUAUCUCUAUAAGAAAAUACAUCUCAUUAAACAUUUCCUGUAAAUAAAUUAUCCCAAAUAACUACGGUUUGUAAGAGG